UACGAAGGGUGCAAGCGUUACUCGGAAUUACUGGGCGUAAAGAGUGCGUAGGUGGUGAGUUAAGUCUGUCGUGAAAGCCCCGGGCUCAACCUGGGAAUGGCGAUGGAUACUGGCUCGCUAGAGUGCGGUAGAGGAGAGUGGAAUUCCCGGUGUAGCAGUGAAAUGCGUAGAGAUCGGGAGGAACAUCAGUUGCGAAGGCGGCUCUCUGGACCGGUUCUGACGCUGAUGCGCGAAAGCUAGGGGAGCAAACAGG
rnacentral:rRNA from 1 species